CGAAGCAAGUAAAAGUUUCAAACCAAAUUAAAAUAUAAUUCAGAAUUUAAAACAGUUAACUAAACUUUUAAUAGAAAAAGUUUAGUUUUUUUAAAUUGAACUAAAAAACAGUAUAAUUCAGUUUUCAUAGUACAAAAUAGUAUAGAUUAUCCAUAGUUUACGGUAACCAAAGUAAUUAUGCUUAGCCUUAAAUUUAUAUGUAGUUUAAGUCCAUAAAUUAAUUCUCACUAUGGUUUUUUUAGUGUCAUUGCAAAGGAUUGAGAUCUCGAGAAUGGAUUUGUAGAUAGGGAUUGAGAUUUUAGUGGUGAUUUGAAAACUUUUGUUAGUUGAAAUUGAAUAUGUUGUUGUUCAAAGUAGGAAGAUCAACUUGUAAAAGAUUUUCUAGCGUUCAAGUCAAUAAGAGAGUCUAUGAUUAUUUUUUUAAUAUAGUGAGUAUGAGUAAUUAUGAAGUGAGUAUUCCUUAGACGAUACUAAUUGUAUUUACAUGAUCAACAUCGAUCGUGAGUCUAUGUUCCUAUUAAAAUAAUACGUACCUCAAGCAUAUAAUAAUAAUGUAGUUAAUAAUAACAUAAUAAUAUUCCAUCAUAAAUAAUAACCAUAAUACCAAAAUGUCGAUAUUAGUUAUGAUAUGUGGAUAUUGAUUAAAUAAACGUAGGUUUGGGUUGAUCCAAGAUGAUGAGGCUUAAUGAGUCUUGUUGGGUUAUGCUCUUUAGUAUAUCUAUUGGGUUGGGUAGGAACAUAAGGCCCCUAGUGUCGAGAGUUUUGAUUUGGUUUAUGUGAUCAUGACUGAUCUUUGGUCGAUCUUGAGCCGACUGGUAUAGUUUAAAAAUGGAUUGGUCAUUCGACAUAGGUCGUUGUGCAUUGGCCCUUUGGCAAAGCUUCGGAUGUGGAUUGACCCUUUGGUCGAGCUCUUAUGUGGCUUGACCCUUUUCGCAAGUGGAUUAGCCCUCUAGCCGAGCUCUCAAGUGGAUUGACCUUCUGACCGAGCUCUAGCUGAGCUUCAUAGGUGGAUUGGCCCUCCGACUAUGCUUGUUUGUGUAUUGGCCCUCCAGCCAAGCUCGUUUAUAGAUUGGCCCUUCGGCUGAACUUGUUCGAAAACUGUUGUGUAAGGAUAACCCUUCCAACUUGUGUUUUGGACUUUAGGAAAUUUUUAUGCUAGGCUACCAGCUUGGGUAAACUAUGUUAGGUGUUGCAGGCUUUAGGUGAGUUUCACUUUUAUGCGACCAACUUUAGGCAGGUUUUGUUGGGUGUUGCUACAGGUUAGGGUGAGUUAAUGAUUAUUUUAACUUUUUUCUAUCUUGGAUUUCUUUAUCGUUACUUCUCUCUAAGCAAUCCUCUUCGCUCUUUGAGUCCUCUCUGAGCUUGUCCCCGUGUUUCAUGUCUUCUUUUUUGAAUUCGCCCAUUGUCGAAGGAAGUAAAGGUGGCCUAGGUGAAGGUUAGGUGGGACAUCCUGGUCGAUUUGUGUACUAAGGUCGGUGAGAGCUAACAAAAAGAGACCUGGAAUUAGUACCAAGUUUCAACUAUUUUAUUCAAGUUUGUCAGCCUUGAGGCUCGAUGCUGCUCGUCUAGGUUAAGGAGAGUAUCAUGCUCCUAAUUGGCGGGCUGACGACCUAUGCUUAGAGUUUGAAGAAAGAGGUGGGUUGCCUUCUUUAGUCUCAGUUUAGACUUAGGGUAAUGGUUAAGUUAUGUACUCUGGUUUUGGAAUGCUAAUUUGCUCUUGGGCCGAGUUGUUAUUUGCUCCUAUACUCUGGUCGAGUUACCCAUAUACUAGAAUGUUGAGUUGCUCCUCUACUUAGUCACUAGAAAUGCUAAAAUGUUUUUGGUGCUUGGGCAGUGGAAUGUCGAGUUGUUCCUUUUCUUAGGCAUUGAAUUGUUUUUUGUACUCGGGCACUAGGUUGUCGAGAUGUUCUUGUGCUUAGGUAUUAAGACGUUGAGCUUAUCUUGUACUCGAUUGAAUGAAUUGUGUUCUUUUACUCUAAUAACUCAAUGUUUCUUCUAUUUUGUCUAAGUGACUUGAUGUCUCACCUUGCUUGGAGGGAUUUUUGGUUGGUUACUUGGUGAAGUAACUCGAUUUUCUUAGUGAAGUUGCACGGUGCCUCACUUGGAGGUCUUUCUUAUGAAAGUUUCUCGAAGUAGCACGAUUUACUUGUUGAUGUAGCUCGAUGUCUCACAUGGAGGGCUAGUGGUGCCUAAAGAGCUUUUGGUGCCUUGUUUUGAGGGCUUGCGAUGACUCGUUUAGAGGGUUUUUGGUGCCUCACAUGGAGGAAUUUUAGUAUCGUCUAAGUAAAUUGGGUGUCACCUUGGUGAUCUUUUUCUCAUUGCCACCUCUAUAGACUUUUCUCGUUGCCACCUUCAUGGAUUUUUCUCGUUGCCACCUCCGUGGAUUUUUCUUGUUGCCAACUCCGUGGUCUUUUAUCGUUGCCACCUUCAUGGAAUUUUCUCAUUGCUACCUUUGUGGACUUUUCUUAUUGCCACCUUUGUAGACUUUUCUAAUUGCCAUCUCCGUGGAUUUUUCUUGUUGCCACCUUUGUGGACUUUUCUCGUCUCCACCUUCGUGAUCAUUUCUUGUUGCUACUUCCGUAGACUUUUGUCGUUUCCACCUUUGUGGACUUUUCUUGUUGCCACCUCUAUAGACUUUUCUCGUUUUCAUUUAGUAACUCAGUUGCCUCGUUUGAGGGCUUAUUGUGCCAUGUUUGUGGGUUUUAUUUGCUGUCAGAGUAGGCUUUCUAGUUGUCCUUGUGUGUCUGCAAGAGGAGCCUAGGGAAGUAAAUUCCCAUUGUGUUGGUUGUCUUUCUUUCUCUUGCAAGUCUUUAUUGUUAUCGUUAGCAUAAAGAAGUAGAAACAAAUAACUAUACAAAAUGAAUGAUCCCAAGUAAAGGUUUUGGGAAUAUAAUGAUGUUUGUCUUUGUGUCGUCUUAGGAAUUCUAUCAGUAGACAUUUUUCUCCAUGCUUAUCUACUUUUGAUGUUUGUCUUAGGUUGACCUCAAUUAGGUUUUUUCUUUAUAACCAGACUUUAUUCAUACUAGGUGUACCUUCUGCACAGUUCUUUCUUGGAUUCGAGUAUUGCAAUGUUGAAUUGUAAUCUACUACCAUAGGCGGGUACUAGAACACUAAGGUAUUCUCGUACAUGGAGUCUGGACAACCGAGUUUCUACUAUACUCGAUCAUUGGGAAGUCAAGCUUCUACUGCACUCGGUCACUAGAAGACCGAUCUUAUAUUAUACUUAGCCACUAAAACACAAAGUUGUUUUUGUACUCAUUGAAGUCUUCUUAUACUCAGGUAUUGAAAUCCUAAGUUUUUCCUAUAUUGGGUUGUUGACUUACUCUUGUGGUAGAUAUCAUCAUGCCGAGUCUUUUUUUUGUACUCUUGGCAUUGGUAAGUCGUUUUACUUUUUUGGUGCUUAGGCACUAUAAUGCUAGGCUUCUUUUGUACUCGGACACUGAAACACCGAGUUGCACUUGCACUUUAGUGGAUUAAGAUUGUGUAUCGAUUAGUUGGAAAUGGUGACAGUGAUAACUCUUGGACGAUAUUACUCGUGGUUAUGAAAACGGUUGGCAUAACUCCUUAUGGUAGUGAAGGUUAUGGGACCUGACCAUCCUUUCACGUCAGUGAGGUGGACUUUAUGGUUGUUGCAAUGAUUAAGUUGUUCCCGGUGAUUGUGUCUUAGGUUGUUACUCUCGAAAUAACAAAAAUGAAAUGAGUCGAGCUUUUACCGUCAAGCACGUGUGGGUCGAGCUUCAUGUGGGCGAGCCUUGCAUCCUUUGAUGGCCAAGCUUCGUGGCCAAUCUUUAUUCUUUAUUGGUUGAGCAUUGCGACAGAACUUUAUUCUCUAUUGGCCGAGCUUCAUGACUAACCUUUAUCCUUUGUCGGUUGAGCUUCGUAGUUGAGAUUUAUUCUCUGUUGGCCGAGCUUUGAGGCCGAGGUUGUCAUCUUAUAACACUUGGUUGUAGAACUUUGUUAUUAAUGGAGGCGCUACAAUCGCUUUGUUAUAGGGUGUCUUACCACUGUGUGAGUAUGACAUGUUCGGGUGUGCUUUAUAGACAAUUUUCUUUGUGUUGAGAAUGCUCUUUUUCCCGAUUGACUCGCCUGUCGAGGUUUUUGGUGGUGUGCUCAGGAAGUCUAAUGUCCUUCCCGCUUUACCCUUUUGCUAAGAUGCUUAGUAUAUCUCAGAAUUUCCCAACUCUCCAUCUCGGAAGGGGCUAUGAUGUCUAUUGCGAUAUUAUCUUGAGUGGUAGGACCGUCUAUGAGUCUCCUUAGUCAUGCACCAAGUUGAUUUGUUUUGAGCUCUUCGAGGAUUUUUGCCGAGUAGAUCGACUACCACUCACUUGGCUCUUGCCGGUUUGUCCGCUUUUUGUGAUGUUCUCUAGAAUCGUGGGACUCCACUGAUUUUGCAUUUUGGUCUAGGUUACGAUAUUUGUGCCAACGAGGCUCUCAUUGGAAGUGGUGGUCGUUCACAACUUUCUCUCAUUCUGUGACAGGCUAACUAGCUUUGUUCUCUCCAAGUCCAACGUUGAGGAGAUCAGUCUUGGUUAGAGUGGCGGGAGCGUUCAUGAGUCUCUCCCAUUUUGUGCCAAGUUGACCUGCUCUGGUGUUGAGGAGAACAAUCUCAGCUUCUACUGGAAUCUUGCUGAGCUUAUGGGUUGUGUCUUGUUAAGGAAUUACAAGGGUCGUGCAUUGUGUCUGAAGUUUCUGGAGUUCGUGUAGAUUAGCUUGUUGUUGAGCCUACAUGGAUUCCAACUCGGUGUCAUAUUGCUUGCGCUUUUUGUUAUGCUAUUAUAUGAGCUUUUGCAUUUGCUGCUUUAGGGUCGCCACCUGGUUAACUUCCAUCUCAUGGGCGAGUUAAGCAGUCCUUCGUGUGGUGACCAUGUGGAGGUGAGGUCAAGGGAGAGUUUUAUUGGGGCCUCACGGUGAGCACCAAAUGAUCUUAGUGGGAUCUUGAACGUGAAUUUGCAUACAUGAGGCAAGAUCCUAGCGGUGGCUUGAAAGCUCUUGUUGGUCAAAAUUGAAUCCCUUAUUAUUCAGAGGGAGAAGAUCCACCUGAAAAGACUCUCUAUCGCUUAAGUCAGUAAAGGAGUUUAUGAUCUUUUAAUAUAGUGAAUAUAAGUAAUUAUGAAGUAAGUAUUCCUUAAAGAAUACUAGUUAUAUUUAUAUGGAUCGUAGAUUCAUAUUCUUAUUAAAAUAAUAUUUAUUUAAAGCAUAUAAUAACAUUGUUAUCAA